AUGAUGGCGGCGCCUAGGCCACAGCAGCCACAUGGGAUGAAACUAGCAGAAAUGAAGAAGGCGGCGGUCGUUGGGAGGAAAAAGGUUGCCGGGAAGCUGGAGGGCGUGCACCAGCUGCGGCUGCUGGACAACCGCUACGUUCAGUACAGGUUGCUGAACGCCCGGGGGCAUAGGCGGCCAAGGAAGAUGGAGAUGGGUUGGUGGAGGAGAAAGGCAGUAGAAUGCUGUCGCCAUUAUUCCAACCCACAUCUUUGGAUCAGAGAUGUGAGUCGGGUUGGUAGGUGGGGGAUGGCAGUGACUGGAUGA
rnacentral:rRNA from 1 species